UACGUAGGGUGCAAGCGUUGUCCGGAAUUAUUGGGCGUAAAGAGCUCGUAGGCGGUCUGUCGCGUCUGCUGUGAAAACUCAGGGCUUAACCCUGAGCUUGCAGUGGGUACGGGCAGACUAGAGUGCGGUAGGGGAGACUGGAAUUCCUGGUGUAGCGGUGAAAUGCGCAGAUAUCAGGAGGAACACCGGUGGCGAAGGCGGGUCUCUGGACCACUACUGACGCUGAGAAGCGAAAGCAUGGGGAGCGAACAGG
rnacentral:rRNA from 1 species